ACGGGGAACAACCUGAGUGCCUGCUAAAUGU
rnacentral:piRNA from 1 species